GUGUGCCUAGCAGUGUGGUCAAAGAGUGUAGGACUGCAAUGCUGAUUAAGGAGAUAGGCAUAUCCAGGUUCAUGGUCUAUGCUCUGCAGAUAAAGGAGGCUAUGAAUAGGGAGAAGGAGAGGGAGAAUAAGAGUGCUAGAAUAGGUAGCUUUAAUUUUAACCAGCCUAGGUUAGAGGACGGUAACCGUUCCCAGUUUUAUCUGAAACCCUUAGUUCCAGCUCCG
rnacentral:lncRNA from 1 species